CUAUAGAGAUACCUUACCUAACCCUAACCCUAACCCUUACCGUAUCAAUAUACGUAUCCAUACAUACACAUACAGUACGUUUUAAUAAAUAAGCUUAUUUAUUAAUAACCUUUAUCCCACUAACAUAAUGUGUAGUCCCAUGAGACUCGAUACAUAGUCGAGCUGUGCAGGUUUUCUCGCCAUCCAAACGUCGUCGCUUAUUCGUGACCACACCUGCAACGUUUAAAGUCCGGUAGACUGCGCACCGUUUUUUUGAGGCAGUGAGAUAGUUCUUACGGACUCCGAUUACAAGAGAGAAAUUGAGGGGCUAGCUCCUGGAUAUUGACUAUUGAACCGAGACCGGCUGUUAAGCUAUGCUGCUACUCCCAUGUAUCGGAUAGCAUAUGUUAAGGAAAUUACUCUCCGGCGGUGAUACCGGAUAAGACGACCAGCACACACACUGGAGCGGACGGUUGAGAAAGCGACGGCCAGCAUAUAUGCGCUCACAGGCCGGUGACGAGGUAGAGAGAGGUGGCAGUCUGAGACGACCGGUGACAUCACCUCCAGGUCCUGACGCCGAGAGAUGAAAACAACUGCUUGCUCAGGGAUUGGUUCUGUUAGGUUCUGCUACACAGAAGGAGAUCUGGGAUCCACCGAGGAGGAAAGUGAUCUACUGAGGAGAGAGGGGAUCUACUGAAGAGAAGUGAUCUACUGAGGAGAGAGGGGAUCUACUGAGGAGAGAGGGGA